rnacentral:miRNA from 1 species
UCUCUGUGCUUCUGCUCCUUAG